UAGUCCACGCCGUAAACGAUGGAUACUAGCUGUCCGGAAUCUUGAAUUCUGGGCGGCCAAGCGAAAGUGAUAAGUAUCCCACCUGGGGAGUACGUUCGCAAGAAUGAAACUCAAAGGAAUUGACGGGGGCCCGCACAAGCGGUGGAGCAUGUGGUUUAAUUCGAUGAUACGCGAGGAACCUUACCAAGGCUUAAAUGUAGAAUGACAGGACUGGAAACAGUCCCUUCUUCGGACAAUCUACAAGGUGCUGCAUGGUUGUCGUCAGCUCGUGCUGUGAAGUGUCGGGUUAAGUCCCAUAACGAGCGCAACCCCUAUUUUCAGUUGCCAGCGAGUAAUGUCGGGGACUCUGGAAAACUGCCACCGUAAGGUGAGAGGAAGGUGGGGAUGACGUCAAAUCAAUCACGGCCCUUACGUCUUGGGCUACACACGUGCUACAAUGGUCGGUACAGAGGGCAGCUACCUAGUGAUAGGAUGCGAAUCUCCAAAGCCGGUACUCAGUUCGGAUCGAAGU
rnacentral:rRNA from 1 species